AUUCGGCAAGAAAGGGAGUGGGCUGCAUGUGAGUUUGAGAAGGUGGAUGAACCGUGCUGCGGGGACAGAGAGGAGGGUGCAGCUUGGCCUCUGGGACCUCAGCUGAGCACUGAGUGAGCUGUCUCCGUUUCAGACGUCCACACGGAAGCUGUCCAGGCGGCUCUGGCCAGACACAAAGAGCAGAAGAUGGCCGGUGCCUAUGCCUUCCAAACGCAGGUCCCUGGUCGUGCAGACCUCCAUGGACGCCUACACCCCCUCC